GAGGAAUAUUGGUCAAUGGGCGCAAGCCUGAACCAGCCAUGCCGCGUGCAGGAUGACGGUCCUAUGGAUUGUAAACUGCUUUUGUACAGGAAGAAACACUCCCUCGUGAGGGAGCUUGACGGUACUGUAAGAAUAAGGAUCGGCUAACUCCGUGCCAGCAGCCGCGGUAAUACGGAGGAUCCAAGCGUUAUCCGGAAUCAUUGGGUUUAAAGGGUCCGUAGGCGGUUUUAUAAGUCAGUGGUGAAAUCUGGUCGCUCAACGAUCAAACGGCCAUUGAUACUGUAAGACUUGAAUUACUUGGAAGUAACUAGAAUAUGUAGUGUAGCGGUGAAAUGCUUAGAGAUUACAUGGAAUACCAAUUGCGAAGGCAGGUUACUACAAGUGGAUUGACGCUGAUGGACGAAAGCGUGGGGAGCGAAC
rnacentral:rRNA from 1 species